rnacentral:rRNA from 1 species
GACGAACGCUGGCGGCGUGCUUAACACAUGCAAGUCGAGCGGAAAGGCCCUUUCGGGGGUACUCGAGCGGCGAACGGGUGAGUAACACGUGAGUAAUCUGCCCUUCACUUGGGGAUAACCUCCGGAAACGGUGGCUAAUACCCGAUACGACCAUUCCUCGCAUGAGGUGGUGGUGGAAAGUUUUUCGGUGGGGGAUGUGCUCGCGGCCUAUCAGCUUGUUGGUGGGGUAAUGGCCUACCAAGGCUUCGACGGGUAGCCGGCCUGAGGGGGUGACCGGCCACACUGGGACUGAGACACGGCCCAGACUCCUACGGGAGGCAGCAGUGGGGAAUAUUGGACAAUGGGCGGAAGCCUGAUCCAGCAACGCCGCGUGAGGGAUGACGGCCUUCGGGUUGUAAACCUCUUUCACCUGUGACGAAGCGAAAGUGACGGUAGCAGGAGAAGAAGCACCGGCCAACUACGUG